rnacentral:sRNA from 1 species
AGCCCAGGCUGCCUGUAAACCCUCAAACUUGCUAUGUAGCUUUGAAAUUCUGAUCCUCCUGCCUCCAGCUGCCAAGCACUGGGAUUGCAGGGGUGUGCUAGGAUACUCGGCCCCCGAUAUAUGGCAUUUAAUUUUGCACUGAGAGCUACUCUGUCUACCACUCAAGUGAAAUGCAUCCGUCCACUGCCUAACCACCACUCUCCCCUCUGCUAGAAACCUUUUCUCCAACCUACUUCAAAGCGUUUGGCUAUCUUCUAAAUGGUGAGGGUCAUCGACAUCCAAACCUUCAGACAGCGGAAGAUUGCAGUGUCAGCAUGGCGCGGCCAGGAGAGACCGUCACCAAGAAGCCGGGACAGGAAAGGGAUCUUUAUAAGCUAUGACUAACAAGAAAAGCAAACUUUAGUAAUUCAGAGGCUGAGAGACAGAAUGAGACUUUGGCCAGCCACACAGGGAAUGGAGCAAGCAGGAGCUGUGACACAGCCCAACGGUAGAGUACCUGCCAAGUACGAGGAAGUCCUUGGGUUCGAUCCCCAGCAUAGGAAGAGAGCCAAGCUUGGUUGUAUCCACUCACAAUCACAGAACUCCGAAGGUGAACGCAGGAGGCUGAGGAGUUUAAGGUCAGCCAGGACUCGACGAGACCUCUUGAGAACGAAAGGAAAGAAGGGGGGCCGAGGCAUGAAGCAGGUCUUGCCAUCAAGAACUGGCAGAGACAUUCUCCUCCCACUCCUGUCACCUGCAUCAGAAAUAACCUGAUUACAGGCACACAGCGUACAUAACCUAUGAACCACACCCAUGCUCUGGAAGGUAGGACCUCUCCGCUUCCUCCGAAACCCUUAUAGAAAGUCCUCUCAUCUAAGAAUCCAGUGUAUCAUUAUCGUGAACACUCGGGCAUAGCCAACUUGUGACCUGAAAUGCACUGUGUAGUGGAGAUCGGCCAAACCCCACUAGAAAAGACCCCCCAACCAGAUGAGGGGUGGGAGGAUGGACAGGCUAGCAGAAAUGUCAGCAGUGACCUUGUGACCAGACACAGCGCCAGGUGUACUCUGCCUGUGUCCUGCCUCUGGACCCAAACUUCCCUACUCCUCUUCCUCUUCCUCCCUAUGCUAAUUAACACGAGGGUUGACUGGUGAUAAACCUCCACUUCAGUCUCUUAUAUGGCAGUGUCACUGAAUGGUAAAAAAUUAUUAGUUUUUUUUACCAGAGAUGGAUCCAGCGACUGCUGGGGCUGUGU